GACUACCUCUGCUGAGCUCAAAUGGGCAGAUUUCAUAUUCCUGUUGUUCUUAGGAAUACUUCAUAUGACAAAAUGAUGACUGUCCAUGUUUUUCAGAGCAGUGUGCAAUGGGGAGAGCCUGCCUUGUCUUUUUGCUACCAUUUUAUAUACAGGACUGCUUUGUCUCAGCCGACAGAACCAGCAAGCCAGAAAGGGAGAGAAGAGAGCCAACUGUAACCAGUUACCCUAGUAAGUGAUGGUUGGACAGGAGAUGACCUGUGGAGCCACAGAGCCCGGAGAGUUCAGAGGAUGGAAGAUGUCACUGGGUCCUCGUUGUCAAGCACAUUCUCCUCAAGGUCAAUUUUGCAUUGGAUGGUCCAAGGCACAGAUGCCAUACAGAUUCUAAGUCAGAAUUAUUUAGUCCAGGUCUUUUGCAAUAAUUCAUUGUCACUGCCAAGCAGCAAUACUUAACUAUUUUGCUAUGAGGACAAUCUAUUGAUACCUAAGAAAUGUCUGAAAUUCAAAGUCUAAAGAGAGAUUGGUAGAUUCUAAGAGGGCAUAAACCAUUCAGUAAGCAAUUGUUGGCAACCUUCUAGAUGGCCCCUAUUCUGAUGCUGAGACAAACGGGUCAGAUAUGACACACAGGUUGCUUUUAUCUGUCCAAGGCCACACCCCCUGAGGAGACAGAUCCAUAAACACCCUGUGUGUCACCUCGAUUCACAAGGUCAAGUGAUGAGAGUCACAGAUGAGGUCUCUGCGGCAGAGGAGAGGACACCUUAGAAGAGCAAGCAAUCUUCCCUCCCUGGGCGAAUCUGUAGCACUU